GACGAACGCUGGCGGCGUGCUUAACACAUGCAAGUCGAACGGAAAGGCCCUGCUUUCGUGGGGUGCUCGAGUGGCGAACGGGUGCGUAACACGUGAGUAACCUGCUCUUGAUUUUGGGAUAACUUCAGGAAACUGGGGCUAAUAUCGUACAGGAGCCCCCGUUGCAUGGUGGGGGUUGGAAAGUCGCGGCGGGAGGGGAUGGACUCGCGGCUUACCAGCUAGUUGGUGGGGGAGUGGCUUACCAAGGCAUUGGAGGGUAGGCGGCCGGAGAGGGUGGACGGCGACCAUGGGACUACGGGAGGGCGCAGACUCCUACGGUAGGCAGCAGGGGCAAAUAUUGCCCAGUGGGCGCGAGCCUGAUGCAGCGACGCCGCGUGCGGGAUGACGGCCUUCGGGUUGUGAACCGCUUUCGCCUGUGACGAAGCGUGUGUGACGGUAAUGAGUGAAGAAGCACCGGCUAACUACGUG
rnacentral:rRNA from 1 species